AGAGUUUGAUCCUGGCUCAGGAUGAACGCUGGCGGCGUGCUUAACACAUGCAAGUCGAACGAACCUUCGGGUUAGUGGCGGACGGGUGAGUAACGCGUGAGAAUCUGCCCUCAGGAGGGGGAUAACGGUUGGAAACGACCGCUAAUACCCCAUAUGCCGAGAGGUGAAAUGAAUUUCGCCUGAGGAUGAGCUCGCGUCUGAUUAGCUAGUUGGUGUGGUAAAGGCGCACCAAGGCUUCGAUCAGUAGCUGGUCUGAGAGGAUGAUCAGCCACACUGGGACUGAGACACGGCCCAGACUCCUACGGGAGGCAGCAGUGGGGAAUUUUCCGCAAUGGGCGCAAGCCUGACGGAGCAACGCCGCGUGAGGGAUGAAGGCCUCUGGGCUGUAAACCUCUUUUCUCAAGGAAGAAGAAAUGACGGUACUUGAGGAAUAAGCCACGGCUAAUUCCGUGCCAGCAGCCGCGGUAAUACGGGAGUGGCAAGCGUUAUCCGGAAUUAUUGGGCGUAAAGCGUCCGCAGGCGGUCCUACAAGUCUGCCGUUAAAAAGUGGAGCUCAACUCCAUCACGGCGGUGGAAACUGUAGGACUGGAGUGUGGUAGGGGCAGAGGGAAUUCCCGGUGUAGCGGUGAAAUGCGUAGAUAUCGGGAAGAACACCAGUGGCGAAAGCGCUCUGCUGGGCCAUAACUGACGCUCAUGGACGAAAGCCAGGGGAGCGAAAGGGAUUAGAUACCCCUGUAGUCCUGGCCGUAAACGAUGAACACUAGGUGUCGGGGGAAUCGACCCCCUCGGUGUCGUAGCCAACGCGUUAAGUGUUCCGCCUGGGGAGUACGCACGCAAGUGUGAAACUCAAAGGAAUUGACGGGGGCCCGCACAAGCGGUGGAGUAUGUGGUUUAAUUCGAUGCAACGCGAAGAACCUUACCAGGCUUGACAUCCUGCGAACCUCUGGGAAACCGGA
rnacentral:rRNA from 1 species